rnacentral:rRNA from 1 species
UACGUAGGGUGCAAGCGUUAAUCGGAAUUACUGGGCGUAAAGCGUGCGCAGGCGGCUAUGCAAGACAGAUGUGAAAUCCCCGAGCUCAACCUGGGAACUGCGUUUGAAACUACAGGACUAGAAUAUGUCAGAGGGGGGUAGAAUUCCACGUGUAGCAGUGAAAUGCGUAGAGAUGUGGAGGAAUACCAAUGGCGAAGGCAGCCCCCUGGGAUAAUAUUGACGCUCAUGCACGAAAGCGUGGGGAGCAAACG